CUUACCCACUCAUCUCUGAGGUCUCCUCCUCUUCCUGGUUGUCAUAGCGAGCAGGUGACCGUGCAUGAGGAGGUGUGCGGCGUUGGCGGCGGUGUGUGUGUGACUGUGUGUCUGCAUCGCUGUCUGUCUCUCCAUAGUAAGCCUCGCUGUCAGGAGGGGAAGUAAUGCCGCUGGGUAUCCCUGUGGGGGAGAGGAUGGAGGAACGGUUGGAGGUGGGAGACAGGACCCUCGUGGAGGAGCGGGACGAUGUAGAGUGAGAAGAGGAGUGGAAACCAGGAGGGGCCCUGGAAACACACAGACAACAAGUCGUGAAAAUGUUGAGUGUGGCAUUCUGCGUAUCUAUGAGGCUCAUGGCCUGAGCAUGACUGAGAUCAGCACAACAAUCAUCCCCAAUGGCAACCAGCUCGUCAUGCUCCUUCAGUCCAGCUCUGCACGCUUUGCUGCGCCUACGUACCUAUGGAGAUGAAAAGCUCCUCUUAAAUGAGCUAUUCUGAUCCUGCAGUUUGUGCUCCCGUCCCACCAGGGCUUAUCUGAGGUCUUCAGCAAGUAUCAGUAUUGAUUUAAGUUUUUUUUACAGUAAGAUUGAUUUCAGUUGAACUACAUUAAUGAUGUAAACAAUUGUGGGAAUGCUGUGGUGCAACUCAACAAGAAACGCUGUCAAAUUUUAAGCUGUCUGUGCAUCUGUUGUUAUUUGUUUAUUUAUUUUUGGGUGUAUGUAGUGGUCGUUGCUAUGAUUAUGUUUUUAUAUGU